rnacentral:lncRNA from 1 species
GCUGGGGUCCUGGUACACAGCAAAACUCCCACCUCCUGCUGAGUCCUGGUGGCUGCUGCAGCUGCCUGGGAAAAGAGGCAUUGCAGCUGAGGGGAUGCAGGGGCUGGCACUGCCCUCUUCACCAGGCUGCAGCAGGUUCAGAGGCACAGCUGGUGAAGGCCAACAGAGUAACAGAAACCUGUAGAGCCUGAUCACCUGCUGUAUAUUUUCAGGACCUUGUAUUUACUUCUGUUACAGAAUCAUAGAAGAGCCCAUGUUGGAAGCAGCCACGAAAGAUCUUCUGAUCCAGCCACUUAUGGGAAAAGGAACCCUAUCUAGCACCCUGGGACUGGCCCAACUUGAAAACCUCCAGUGAUGGGGACUCUACCAUAUCCUUGGAAAGGUUGUUCCAGUGUAAAAAAUGUCUUUAUUCUAUCAUGGGAACCAGCCCCACUUCAAGGGAAGGAAACAUGUCUGUCAGCAGCUGACAGGACACACAGCUGCUCAUUGGGCCUGGAGCUGGAUGCUUGGCAUGGUACAAAGGCAGAUUCUGGGAGAAGGAAAGAAGAUGUUGGGAAAGACAAGGAAAGAAGAAAAGGACAGGUAAAACGCCAGGAGGCCAUUGCUGUGAGCUGUGACUGUGGACAAGGCACUGGCACCAUGAGCAUGGCAACACGCAGGUGGCCAGAGUGGUGUCCAGUGGGAAUAUCUACUGCUUGGAUUUUUAGGUCAUGCAGUGAAAAGGGAGUAAAACUGCAUAGACCUCAUUUAGCUGUUUUAUACCAUUGGCCCUGAUCCCUAGAGGACAGAUUGACUUAAAAUCACAAGAUUCUCUAUGUAAUAUAUUUGUAUUCCUUUUUAUUUGUUUUGCAAGCUGUGGAUUCAUCCAAAUUCAUAUGCUAAUAUUUUUUCCUUGUGAUGACAGGAGCCACAGUGACAAGCAGUGUGCAUGUGUGAG